rnacentral:lncRNA from 1 species
CUGCAUGGGAUUCGCUCGACCGGCCACCUUCGACCAUACGGACUUUUUACCCUGGCCGUGCUGCCCUCCACACCGGAGUCUAUGCAGCCGUGGAACCAGCCAGAGCUCUUGCCGCUGCCCCGUGGUAGAGCCCCUCAACCCUUCUGCCCUUUGCCCCGUCAUAGAGCGCGGUGAGUUGGUCGGCGUGGCGUGAAGUAAGGAUAUAUAAUUUUUCUUAUGUUGUGCCAACAUCACUAUAGCCGGAAGCUUGUGCGAUUUCAUUUCAAUUGGCAAGGUGAACUCCUCUAUCAUUGGCUUCAGUGUUCCUGUUAGCAUGGUAAAUGGGAUUCUUUCCCAAUUAUUGAAGGCCACCGUUAUUACUGAUAUAUAUUUCACUUGACCGUGAAUCAUAUUAGAAUUGGAUGAUUUGCCCCACGGCAUUUCACUCAUAUCUGUGCACUCGGUUUUGUUCAGAGAUUUUUGAUAUGUAUAUACUCACAGGAGAAGCCCACCGGUCCAUCUCUUUGUGUCUUUUACCUGUUGAUCUUCCAUUGUUGUGUUAAUCAAAGCGGAGCAUUACAGAGUUCUCUCCUAAAGGUACGGCAUUCCAAAUCAUAUUCUGGUUUCACAUUAACAAUAUAUGUUCAUUCCCUAUUGUUGUGACCUCCAUGGUAACCAUUGCGACCUAAUUCUAGCAUAUAAUCACCGGUUAUCUUUGUUCUCUAUUUUGCAUCACUAGCUGGAAAUAGUUCAAUAUGUCAAUUCACUGACUGUUCAUAUGUAAAUUUCUGUCUAAUAUAUUCAAUUUUCAUUUUUUUUAUCGGUGCAGACUCAUGAUAUUCAAUUUUUCUAACUGUGAUCAUCGAUUUCCCAACGAGUAGUAACGUGGGUAUUCUAACCUUCCUCUUUUCUAGAUCUGACAUUUCUAAGUAAUGUUCCCUUUUUACUGUUGUCAAAGUGUUCUUAAUGAAAUCUUUAAAAAGCCACAACAACGAAGGCAUUUUCCUUUGCCACAAGGCCAAUGCCAAUCAAGUUGUAUUAACUCGACCAUGUAUGUUUUUAUUUUUUACUCGUUCUCUUGAUAAUUUUGUGCCCUUUCACUGUUUUUAGGCGAGUGAUCUUUCUGUGUCACUGCAGCAUUUUACAUUCAUCUAUGCUGAAAAUAAAUGUAGAGCGCAGUAGUGGGAUGAAUUCUUACCCCACUAUGCUUGGUGAUGCAUAUGUCCUUUUCCACCAUGGUCUGAUGUCAUGUGAUCCAUCUUUUUGUAGGGAAUAAUAAUCCAUAUAUUGCUCUAUGAUAUAAUGGCGAGCUUUUUUGUUCUUAAUUAUGAGAUUUAUCCCCUAACAUUUAUUUUUGCUUAUCCGACAGUGUGCUCCUGGUUCUAUGGUGUGGCUUAGGCGUUGGUGGACAUACUAAGAGGAAUAUAACCAUGUAGCCAAUUUGUAUAGCUCAAUUCCUUGCCAUCUUCGAUAAAUUAGUGCUACCAAACUUUCAUGAUCAAGGAUUAUCAACAAUUUGUUUAUGUUCAUGUUCCAACUUUUUGAGAUCUAGAUGGUCAUGUUGAGAAAUAUACUUGUACCUUCUUGGGAUAGAUGAUUUGCCUUGAAAUA